UCCCUGUUACCAGGGCAGUCUGUUCAGAGAAAUCCAACUGAACAAAAGGGUUGCGCUCGUUAAAGGACUUAACCUAACAUCUCACGACACGAGCUGACGACGGCCAUGCAACACCUGUCACUUGGCUCUAAAAGCACUUUCUUCUUUCGAAGAAAUUCCAAGGAUGUCAAGCCUGGGUAAGGUUCUUCGUUUACCAUCGAAUUAAACAACACGCUCCACCGCUUGUGCGGGUCCCCGUCAAUUCCUUUGAGUUUUAAUCUUGCGACCGUACUCCCCAGGCGGGAUGCUUAACGCGUUAGCUUCGCUACGAGAAGGGUCGAUACUUCUCACAGCUAGCAUCCAUCGUUUACAGCGUGGACUAC
rnacentral:misc_RNA from 1 species